UCAUGCUGAUGUGACACAUGCACAGUGUCCGGGUGAGUUACACAUGUGCUGUGUCCAGGUGUGUUGCACACGUGCACCGUGCCCAGGUGAAAUGAAAUAACUAAAGGCAUCUCCCCUGAAAUCCUGAUCGCAGAGUUGGCCCAAGAGCAACAGGAUUUGGGAGCCUCGCAUUCUGAUGCCGCAUGUUUAGAUGAACGCUAUCUUUUCCGCAGUGCAGUUUGAAGCAGAACAGAGGGAGGACUGUAAAGCAGGAUCACGGGAGAGUUUGAUUUCCAGGCAGUGAUGAAUGGCGGGGGAGGCCAGGUCACCCGGCUGCAACAUCAAAGGGGCGACUGAACCAGCAGCACACUUGAAGUUAGUUAAAAUGCCAUCACCAUUUUCUGAGUUUUGCUUUUUUCUUACAUUUAAAGAAAUUAUAUUCCCUA